rnacentral:pre_miRNA from 1 species
UGUGUGCGGUGAACCUGAGGACCGUAUGCUGUGUUUGGAUAGGUAACACGCAACGGUGUUCGGGUCCACUAAAGCAUCC